UAACAUAAGUAACCUGCCCUAGACAGGGGGAUAACUAUUGGAAACGAUAGCUAAGACCGCAUAGGUGCGGACACUGCAUGGUGACCGUAUUAAAAGUGCCUCAAAGCACUGGUAGAGGAUGGACUUAUGGCGCAUUAGCUGGUUGGCGGGGUAACGGCCCACCAAGGCGACGAUGCGUAGCCGACCUGAGAGGGUGACCGGCCACACUGGGACUGAGACACGGCCCAG
rnacentral:rRNA from 1 species